rnacentral:rRNA from 1 species
CGGGUGCACUGAUCCGGCCGGGCCUUUCCCUCUGUGGAACCCCAUGGCCUUCACUGGCUGUGCGGGGGAAACAGGACUUUUACUGUGAAAAAAUUAGAGUGCUCCAGGCAGGCCUAUGCUCGAAUACAUUAGCAUGGAAUAAUAGAAUAGGACGCGUGGUUCUAUUUUGUUGGUUUCUAGGACCGCCGUAAUGAUUAAUAGGGACAGUCGGGGGCAUCAGUAUUCAAUUGUCAGAGGUGAAAUUCUUGGAUCUAUUGAAGACUAACUACUGCGAAAGCAUUUGCCAAGGAUGUUUUCAUUGAUAAGGAACGAAAGUUAGGGGAUCGAAGACGAUCAGAUACCGUCGUAGUCUUAACUAUAAACUAUGCCGACUAGGGAUCGGACGAUGUUAUUUCUUGACGCGUUCGGCACCUUUCGAGAAAUCAAAGUGCUUGGGCUCCAGGGGGAGUAUGGUCGCAAGGCUGAAACUUAAAGAAAUUGACGGAAGGGCACCACCAGGGGUGGAACCUGCGGCUUAAUUUGACUCAACACGGGGAAACUCACCAGGUCCAGACACAGUGAGGAUUGACAGAUUGAGAGCUCUUUCUUGAUUCUGUGGGUGGUGGUGCAUGGCCGUUCUUAGUUGGUGGAGUGAUUUGUCUGCUUAAUUGCGGUAACGAACGAGACCUUAACCUGCUAAAUAGCCCGUACUGCUCUGGCAGUUCGCCGGCUUCUUAGAGGGACUAUCGG